GUGCUGCAGCCGCUGCCGCCGAUUCCGGAUCUCAUUGCCACGCGCACCCGACGACCGCCCGACGUGCAUUCCCGAUUCCUUUUGGUUCCAAGUCCAAUAUGGCAACUCUCAAGGAUCAGCUGAUUCAUAAUCUUCUAAAGGAAGAACAGACCCCCCAGAAUAAGAUUACAGUUGUUGGGGUUGGUGCUGUUGGCAUGGCCUGUGCCAUCAGUAUCUUAAUGAAGGACUUGGCAGAUGAACUUGCUCUUGUUGAUGUCAUCGAAGACAAAUUGAAGGGAGAGAUGAUGGAUCUCCAACAUGGCAGCCUUUUCCUUAGAACACCAAAGAUUGUCUCUGGCAAAGGUUGAUUUCAACAAGUUUAUAUUAUGAUCCAUGCUUGACUUAAAUUCUUUUUCCAGAUGGUCUCCCUUUGUUGCUUAGGGUAGAGUGCAGUUGCACAGUUAUGGCUCACUGCAGCCUCGAACCCCAGGCUUAAGCAAUCCUCCUUCCACUUCAUUACCCCUUCCCCCUCACAAAGAAACUGGGACUGUAGGGCAUGCUACCAUGCCCAGCUAAUUUUUUUACUUUUUGUAGAGAUGGGGACUCGCUGUGUUGCCCAGGCCUAUCUUGAACCACUGGGCUCAAGUGAUCCUCCCUCCUUAGCCUUCCAAAGUACUGGGAUUGCAGGUGUGAACCACUGUGCCUGGCCUUAGACUUAAAUGCUUUAUCAGGCCUAGCUCUUUUAAGAUUUUGUUUUAAAUGCAGGGUGCAAGAGCCUGGGAACAAUUUCACUUGGGUGCCUGUGAAUAUCAAAGUUUCAAUUUCUAGUAAAUGGUUUAAAAUAGUAAUCCAAUUUGUCCAUGCUAUGGAAACCAUCUGAAUUAGAAUGUAAUGAGUAAAGCUUAAACCUUAGGUCUGUAUUUAACCACAUUGUGUUACUUACUUUUCCCCACAUCCUUUCACACACAAAGUUGAGAAUAGGGUAAAUAAGUGAGCCUGUUCAGCUAAUAUUCUUGGCUUGACCCUUUCACACUUAACAGCAUCAGCCAAGAAACCUGAAUGUGAGCCCAAAUAGUGUCUAUUUUGAUACCUGAAAAUCACUGACCACCUCGCUGAUGGGCAACUCCCUUCAUCACUGGCUUAACUCUCUUGUGCCAUAGGGUAUCU
rnacentral:sRNA from 1 species